UAAGCCUAAUUGGGGGUUGGGGAGCUCUAGGGAUAUUUCCAACGUUUUCCUGCGGGGAUGAUCAGUUUUUAACAGUGCAAGGAUAGAAAAUAACAUCA